UCAAGGACAUUGAAAUACUGGACUAGAUCAUCAAAGGAAUGGAUUCUUCCCUUGAGAGCUGUGAGACUGUGAGGGGGUCCCCUCUGUCUGCAAGCAACAUUCUUCUCCAGGUGAUCCAUGGAAGCCUCACCACUUCAGCAAGAUAGGCCAAAUCUGCCUGAUACUUUCUUCAAAGCCAAGGGUGGUUACCCUGCCAGGGCACGGGCCAGAGACUUGACUUUCUCCAGGAGUAGUCUCCUCCAGUGACUAUCAGAGUUGAUGGAUGAGUUCUUGAGCUCCUUUAUGCCUCAGAAGAAGCUGCUGAGGUCACCUUUCCUGGAUUGGGCUGACAGCUAAGUGGAGAGCACUGAAGGCAGAGGCCCACUUGCUGAGUUCUGCUCAUGUGGGGCAACAAAAAUCAGAAGACACCAGAAGGAGCAGCCAUCGUGUUGAAAGUCAUUUGUUAUUUACUUUGGGGGAGUCUCCAGAAAAUAUUUUGGAUUUGGAGUAUUUGUUUUUUCAUCAGAUUCAUCCUUAGCAACUGCUAAAAGCAUCCAACAGAUGACAAGAGAAUAAAAAAAAAUCACUUAAGCUGCAACGGUGGCAAUACCAAUGCUGCAGAUAAAAUCCAAGUCCCAAAGAAGCUACAAAGAAAGAGAACAGCCUAGCUGAGAGCCACCCAAGGAAGAAGUGAAGCUAUCACAACAUACGCCACAGAUGUACAGAAAUAGAAGCACUGGGGAGGAGAAGCCCAUUCGAGAGGGCGAUGUAGGAGGGUCCCCGGCCCACAUCCUCCCAUGGACAAACCCAGCCUGCAGCUACACAUGGAACAAAUUCUUCUGGAAAAAAACCCCAAAAAAACAAAAAAACCAAAACCUUAAAAAUUAUCUGAGCAACGCCUGUGCAUCUGGUGAGCAAGAGAAGUCCUACUUCUAAGCAGGUAGGAGAAGCUGGGACACAGUCGUGCCAUAAGCCCUGUCCCCAGUGCAGUGACCCACAAUUGGGAGUGCACUCCAAACCCCGAGCUUCCUCCUGAGGAGGAGAGCUUUGAACCCCACAUCGGGCACCUACCUUUUAAGACCUGAGAGACAAGCCCUUAAACAUUGAGCUUUGAAAAUACCGCGGCUCAUGUUCAUAGGACCCGCAAGGCUGUGACGCUCUGAGAAACAGCUCGUAGAGGGUUUGAGCACUUGUGUGAGGCUCAUUUGCUGAUUUUAAAGCCUUGGUCUGAGGGGCAGGCAUCUAAUUCAUCACACAUCUAGGGGCCUGCUGGCUGGUGGGUACCAUCUUAACACUCUUGCUCUGCCUCCCUCUGGCCAGCAGGUGCUAUCUUUUUUCUCUUUCUUUUAUCUUUUAUUUCCUGCAUGCACCAUCUAUAUGCUCCCCUUGUGUCUCAUUCUGGCUGGCAGGUGCCUUCUCCUCCUCUUCCUCCUCCUUCUCCCCUUCCUCCUUUUCUCUUUCUCCUUUUCCUUCUUCUCCUCCCCCCCCCCCUUUUCCCUAGCAGUCACCAUUUAUAUGUUCUCCCUCUGCCUCACUCCAGAGCAUCAGUGUUUCCUGGAGGGGAGCCUUUACACAUGACUGGUGCUCCUGGUUUUGUAGCUAUGACCCAGGGGACACCCCUUAAUCACCUGGCUCUGGAGGCCAGGGGUGCUUAUGUUCCUGAGUCCCCUAGGACUGUACCAAUCAGAGAGACAGUUCUUGGCAGGCUACUACUCCUGAGGCACUGCACAGACAGCAGACGGAGACACACUCCAGUCUUUCUGUCAAGAAGGCCUGCUUGCUUGUGCUUGUCCUGGAGCUUUGGUCUGAGGGGCAGCCUCCUGGUUUGGCACACAACUGGAGGCCAACCGAGGUGCUCUGAAGGAAUGGAGGCUGAUGAACGUCAUCCUCGCACUCUCCCUCUGCCCAGUUACCACUCACCGUAUCUCCCCAAAACAAGUUUAUAUGCUUAUCGGGUAGCUGAUUUUUACAGCUUGCCACCAGGGGACAUCUGUACAUUGCCUGACUCUGGUGGCCAGUGGGGCUUACACUUGCAGCCCCACAGGACUGUAUAUAUUUGCAUACGUUAAAAGCUGCUGCCUGACUGUCGGUUUCUAAUCAGCUAGAUGGAAAUUAUGAUGGAAAAGAUAAAAGAUGGGGGGGUAAAUCCAGGAAACUGAACAUAUGGGUAGUAGGUAUUCAGAAGGGGAAAAUAGAACAGAUGGAGGAGACACUGUCAAAUUCUAGGGGAACAUUUUUCAAGGCUGAGCUGUCUGAAGCCUGCAGAUUUAAAGCACUCACAGGGUUCCAGGCUGAACUGUUAAGAAAAGAUAACUAAUUAUUUUCUGGUAAAAUUCUUAAACUUUAAUGGAUAAAGAAAAACUUUUUACAAUCUUCCAGGAAGAAAGAUUAAAUUAUCUACUAAGAAAAAAGAAUCAUAACGCCGUUAGACUACCCAUCUAUAAACAAAGAAAACUAAAAGACAAUUGAAUAAUGUCAGAGAAAAAGAAUAAUACAUUGAGAAUGCUAUAUCCAGCCAAUAUCAUUCACCUGAAUAAAGACAUUCAAGGAUAGGUGACAAAACAGUCAUCCAGCUAACCCCUCUGAGAAAAAUACUUGAGAUAGUCUAACUGAGAUAUAAAUGAACUCAAAUUAAGAACUCAAGCUGGAGGAAAGAUGAAGAGCACAGGAAUAAAUGAUGAGCAAUGAGCCUUGCCAUAUGAACAGACGCACUCAUUCCGUCAACAGGUAUCUAUUGUGUGCCUAAUACAUGCCAAUAUAGUUGUUGACAAUGGGGAUACUGCAGUGAACAAGAUAAAUAAGAAUUAAAUUUUAAUGGAUGAAUAUAAUCUAUCUGAGAACAAAUAACAUAAUGUUCAAGUAAGGAUGGCUGAAACACAGUAAUACGUUGUGAUGGAUUUUAAAAUAAAUACUAAAAUAUCCCCACAAAGCCCAAGAGAAGGGGGUGGAGAAGAAUGAAUGCAUUAUGAAAUCCUCAUGGGGG